ensembl:misc_RNA Metazoa_SRP Metazoan signal recognition particle RNA
GCCGGGCGCGGUGGCGCGUGCCUGUAGUCCCAGCUACUAGGGAGGCUGAGGUGGGAGGAUCGCUUGAGCCCAGGAGUUCUGGGCUGUAGUGCGCUAUGCCGAUCGGGUGUCCGCACUAAGUUCGGCAUCAAUAUGGUGACCUCCCGGGAGCGGGGGACCACCAGGUUGCCUAAGGAGGGGUGAACCGGCCCAGGUCGGAAACGGAGCAGGUCAAAACUCCCGUGCUGAUCAGUAGUGGGAUCGCGCCUGUGAAUAGCCACUGCACUCCAGCCUGGGCAACAUAGCGAGACCCUGUCUCU